AGAGGGGUGCAAGCGUUAAUCGGAAUUACUGGGCGUAAAGGGUGCGUAGGGUUGAAAUUAAAGUUGGAUGUGAAAGACCCCCGGGGCUUAACCUGGGAAAGCCAUCCAAUACUGAAAUUCUAGAGUACGGGAGAGGAGAGCGGAAUUUCCGGUGUAGCGGUGAAAUGCGUAGAUAUCGGAAGGAACACCAGUGGCGAAGGCGGCUCUCUGGACUGAUACUGACACUGAGGCACGAAAGCGUGGGGAGCAAACAGGAUUAGAUACCCUGGUAGUCCACGCUGUAAAUGGUGAGAACUAGCUGUUGGGUGCAUGGCACUUAGUGGCGAAGCAAACGCGAUAAGUUCUCCGCCUGGGGAGUACGGCCGCAAGGUUA
rnacentral:rRNA from 1 species